AAGUAGCUAAGUCUGCACUCCCAACCCGUGUGACGUACCCGAAACUCUGUCUUCACUUGAAUUCUGAGCAGUAACGAAAACGAGUUAAAACUUUCAACAACGGAUCUCUUGGUUCUGGCAUCGAUGAAGAACGCAGCGAAAUGCGAUAAGUAAUGUGAAUUGCAGAAUUCAGUGAAUCAUCGAAUCUUUGAACGCACAUUGCGCCCGCUAGUAUUCUAGCGGGCAUGCCUGUUCGAGCGUCAUUUCAACCCUUAAGCCCUCGUCGCUUAGUGUUGGGGGCCUACGGCGCGCCGUAGCCCCUCGAAGUCAGUGGCGGGGCCGGUCCACACACCCCGGGCGCAGUAGAUCUCUCAUCUCGCCCGCGGGCCGUGCCGGUCCCCUGCCGUAAAACACCCCCCUAUGACCAAAGGUUGACCUCGGAUCAGGUAGGAAUACCCGCUGAACUUAAGCAUAUCAAAAAACCGGAGGAAA
rnacentral:rRNA from 1 species